UGGGGAAUAUUGCACAAUGGGGGGAACCCUGAUGCAGCAACGCCGCGUGGGUGAAGAAGUACUCCGGUAUGUAAAGCCCUGUCAGCAGGGAAGAAAAUGACGGUACCUGACCAAGAAGCCCCGGCUAACUACGUGCCAGCAGCCGCGGUAAUACGUAGGGGGCAAGCGUUAUCCGGAUUUACUGGGUGUAAAGGGAGCGUAGACGGCAAGGCAAGUCUGGAGUGAAAGCCCGUGGCCCAACCACGGGACUGCUUUGGAAACUGUGUUGCUGGAGUGCAGGAGGGGUAAGCGGAAUUCCUAGUGUAGCGGUGAAAUGCGUAGAUAUUAGGAGGAACACCGGUGGCGAAGGCGGCUUACUGGACUGUAACUGACGUUGAGGCUCGAAGGCGUGGGGAGCAAACAGG
rnacentral:rRNA from 1 species